UACGGAGGGUGCAAGCGUUAUCCGGAUUCACUGGGUUUAAAGGGUGCGUAGGAGGGCAGGUAAGUCAGUGGUGAAAUCCUGGGGCUUAACCCCAGACUGCCGUUGAUACUAUCGGUCUUGAAUGUCGUGGAGGUGAGCGGAAUAUGUCAUGUAGCGGUGAAAUGCUUAGAUAUGAACAUAGAACACCAAUUGCGAAGGCAGCUUGCUACACGGAUAUUGACU
rnacentral:rRNA from 1 species